ACCCGGAUAGCUCAGUCGGAAGAGCAUGAAACUCUUAAUCUCAAGGUCGUGGGUUCGUGCCCCACGUUGGGCG
rnacentral:tRNA from 1 species